GAUGCAGCGACGCCGCGUGAAGGAAGAAGUAUCUCGGUAUGUAAACUUCUAUCAGCAGGGAAGAAAAUGACGGUACCUGACUAAGAAGCCCCGGCUAACUACGUGCCAGCAGCCGCGGUAAUACGUAGGGGGCAAGCGUUAUCCGGAUUUACUGGGUGUAAAGGGAGCGUAGACGGAAGAGCAAGUCUGAUGUGAAAGGCUGGGGCUUAACCCCAGGACUGCAUUGGAAACUGUUUUUCUAGAGUGCCGGAGAGGUAAGCGGAAUUCCUAGUGUAGCGGUGAAAUGCGUAGAUAUUAGGAGGAACACCAGUGGCGAAGGCGGCUUACUGGACGGUAACUGACGUUGAGGCUCGAAAGCGUGGGGAGCAAACAGGAUUAGAUACCCUGGUAGUCCACGCCGUAAACGA
rnacentral:rRNA from 1 species